rnacentral:lncRNA from 1 species
GAAAAUUGACAUUUUGUAAGUGAACAAUUUACUAAGAUGAUAAUUAUUUAUCCUCAAAUAAUUUAAGUGGAAAAAAAGGCAAACAUGGCAACAAAAUUGUUCUUCUCAUAGCUAGUUAGAAGGCCAUAAAAAAAUAAUAUUGUCUAGCAAUUAUUUACCUUAACUCAAUUACAUAAUAAUUCAAGGGUAAAAUUGGAAAGAAGUUUUUUAUAAAGUUUUAAUCCAAACACAAGAUGAGGUGGGAAAUAAUGAACCAAACACUUGAUAAAAAUAAACUCUGCAUUACUAAUCCCUGCAUUAUUAAUC